GCAAGUCGAGCGCACCUUCGGGUGAGCGGCGGACGGGUGAGUAACGCGUGGGAAUCUGCCCUGUAGUGGGGAACAACCCGAGGAAACUCGGGCUAAUACCGCAUACGUCCUAUGGGAGAAAGGGGGCUUCGGCUCUCGCUGCAGGAUGAGCCCGCGUCCGAUUAGCUAGUUGGUGGGGUAAUGGCCCACCAAGGCGACGAUCGGUAGCUGGUCUGAGAGGAUGAUC
rnacentral:rRNA from 1 species